CCUACAUGCGUCUGGUAUCAACUCAUGGGAAUGAAUGCUAGCCUCUUCCAGAGUCUUUGAAUUGAAAGUCUGAGAAACAGACAGAUGCGCAUAAACACAGCAAUUAACACACUUUGGAGUAGUAAUGGCCUGAAGUCCUCUGGCCACUUCAUAGCGUAAGCAACCCAAUUGAAGAGAGUGAAAUACUCAUCCACCUCCUUUCAUGAAGUGGGGGCACAAGCCGGCCGUUCAGAGCUAAAUCAAAGUUCUUCAAGCGUAAGCUGUUGACUUGACUUGACAUGGAGCUCCUCAAGAUCCAUCUCUCUCAAACGAAUGGCUCACUCCUUUUCACCUUGCCCUUCCUGUACUGGAACAAGCCUUCGCACAGUAAAUACCAAAGGUAAAGUUUUCCAAAUUGAUGACUCUCCCUGCGUGCACGGGACAGAUGCAGGGGUGGAUGAAUAUACUGCAGUGCCGGGUGGAUGUCGGCUAAAGGAAGAUGAAUCUCAACACCCAGCCAACUCUUGAACUUUGAAGACGCUGUCGAGGGCUGGCAUUUUCAAGAAAAUUUUCAAAGCAGCAGCUGCUGUUGAAGAAAUAACACAGGGGGGCACUGCAUUUUAUUUUUUUUAUUAUUUUUUUUACUUCUUGAAAGAGCACUUCAUGUUCAACUGAGAAUUUUAUGUAGCAGACAAACACACAGAUACAGAGAAACCAUCGGCUUCUUUUGAACGCCUUCACAAACAGGUGAUUUCUGAGAUUGAUUGUCAUGUCGAUAUAGUUCAUCAAACUGCUGUUUUUGUCACGAGUACUUACACAUCGAAUGCCAGUAUUACAUGAUCAAAUCAGUUUCACUUAUAUAGCUCAGAACAACAAAUCACACUGCCUCAGGGGGCUUGAAAA